UACUGAGAUUUAUGAACAUACUGGAUAAGAAAAUGUGAAAUCAAAAGGUUUAAACAAGGCUGUUUUGUUAUUUUUUUUUUUUGUUGUGUUUGAAUGUACUUGAUGUAUGCAUGAUUUAUCGGAAAAGACAUGACUGUGUUUUGUCUGCCUUUGCUUGCUUGCUUUUUAUUACCACUUAAGCAUAAGGGUAUAAGCCACGUCUGUGUUUUCAUCUGGUAGAAUAAAGAUUCUUUUUCUGUUUAUUGCAUUUUCUUCUCUUCUCAUUCUUUCUCUCUCUAGUUUCCAGUCCGAAGUAUUUGCCGUGGCAUUUGCACUACUUGCAGCCGGAGCAGUGAUCCUCACACUAAAUGUCCUGCUCCUGGGAGGACAUAUAAUCUUCUUCCAAAGCCUAAGCCUUUUGGGCUACUGUCUAUUCCCACCCGACGUUGGAGCUGUGAUCUGCAUGUUGAAGGACAAUGUGAUACUCAAAAUGAUCGUUGCCUGGAGCUCUUGGGCUGCUUAUCCUUUCAUGAGCGCUGCAAAGAAAAGCUCUCGCACUUUAUCCUCUCUUCCUCAUGCAUGUCUCUGUCGGCUUCUUGAUCAUUGCCAUUGAUUGAUUCGUUCUGAAAAAUUUGAAAAUCAGAUAUAUCUUCUUUGAUUUAGUGAUUAGAUAGAGAAUUCUUCACAGCCAA